CCUACGGGAGGCAGCAGUGAGGAAUAUUGGUCAAUGGGCGAGAUCCUGAACCAGCCAAGCCGCGUGAGGGAAGACGGCCCUAUGGGUUGUAAACCUCUUUUGUCGGGGAACAAAACCCGGGACGUGUCCCGGCCUGCGUGUAUCCGAAGAAAAAGCAUCGGCUAAAUUCGUGCCAGCAGCCGCGGUAAUACGGAGGAUGCGAGCGUUAUCCGGAUUUAUUGGGUUUAAAGGGUGCGUAGGCGGUCCGUUAAGUCAGCGGGAAAAUGGCGGGGCUCAACCCUGUCGAGCCGUUGAAACUGGCAGACUUGAGUUGGCGAGAAGGACGCGGAAUGCGCGGUGUAGCGGUGAAAUGCAUAGAUAUCGCGCAGAACUCCGAUUGCGAAGGCAGCGUACCGGCGCCAGACUGACGCUGAGGCACGAAAGCGUGGGGAUCGAACAGGAUUAGAUACCCCGGUAGUC
rnacentral:rRNA from 1 species